UACAGAGGGUGCAAACGUUGCUCGGAUUUACUGGGCGUAAAGCGCGUGUAGGCGGAUUGGAAAGUCGGGUGUGAAAUCCCUGGGCUCAACCCAGGAAUUGCAUCCGAAACUUCCAACCUUGAGUGUCGGAGAGGGAAGUGGAAUUCCUGGUGUAGAGGUGAAAUUCGUAGAUAUCAGGAGGAACACCGGUGGCGAAGGCGGCUUCCUGGACGAUAACUGACGCUGAGACGCGAAAGCGUGGGUAGCAAACAGG
rnacentral:rRNA from 1 species